ensembl:lncRNA
GUUUAAUCUUUUAUUUUUUUAACCAGACCGUUCAAACCAGUGAUAUUAUUACAUGAAAGGAUAUUUGUUUCACAAAAGCAUUAGGGCUCAGUUAAACCAAACAUUGCAGUAUUUAUGCAGUAGCUCUUUUUCCAUCGUCAAAUUAACCCAGACUGGUCUUGGGUACUGUAUAAAACCUGCAACUACACCAGGGCAAUCCUCCUUAGGACUGCUUUCACUUUUCAGAAUUGUGGGUGUGGGCACGGGAUGAAGUGUGGGCACGGGAUGAAGUGUGGGCACGGGAUGAAGUGUGGGCACGGGAUGAAGUGUGGGCACAGGAUGAAUAGUGUAAAUAAAGACACCUCAUAAACAUUUCUAUGGCAGUUAAUGAAUCCCAGCCUUAGUUAGUCGUUUGGUAAAAGGCCACAGAGGAAUACAGAAAAUGGUCAUACCGUGACAUAACGCAUCAAAAAGUAUCACACACAUGCACUCACACACAAACACACUCACAACAGUUGUCAUUGUCUUUUUAGACCAGAGGUUAAAAUGUGAUUUGCAGGUUAAACAAACUAAUUAGCCCAUCUACGAUUAUUUAUUGAAGCAUGUUCAUCUUAAAAUAUUAGAUUUUUGGGUCAAUAUAGGUCACCUGUAAAUAGGCAAACGUUCCUUUUUAACACCUAUUUGCCAAUAAACAGUAACACAUUGUGGGCAUUGGGGAAAUAAAUCUGGCAUUUUGUAUGGUAGCCUGCAUUUGGUAAAUGAUUUCAUUCUCUUGUCAAUAACACUUGCCUUUUAAGGCACUCAGUAUUACUGCAACAUAAUGAACAUGGUGGAACAAUCUUCACAAAGACACACUCAUCACACCCUUUCAUCCACAAGACAAACUAAAUCUGAGACAGGAUACUCUAACCCACAACAUAACCGUCAGAAAAAAAAAGACUUCUACAACAACAAAUCACAAUGCUCGACAAAACACUUGGACACACAACUGUAAACUACAGAUCAUUAGACAUACAUUUUGUUUUCAAAAGAGAUGAAUUACAGUGGGGGGGGCUCAUAAUAAUACCUGGAAUUGAAUCACUGGAAUGGUAUCAAGCACUUGGAGACAGUUUUUUUAAUACCAUUGCAUUUUGACCGUUCCAGCCAUCACUAUGAGCCUGGGGGGGGGUGUAGUGGCUGGCUCAUCACAGCAUCAGGCCCAGGCAGAGGCCUGACACUUUAUUACAAGAAUCAUGAGGAUAACGCACUUUUUGUUUGACCAAAUCAAUAAAUAGGAUGUUUUGAGUGAUGUGACAAUGUAGAAUGUGAACGUGCUCUUUAUACGUUUCAAGGCAUCCUUUCCAUUUUUUUUUUACAUCCAUGAUCUUGGCUGUUUAACUGAUGACAGAUUCGGUGCAGGUCUCUUUGCUGAUGACUCGUUUGACUUUCAAUGUGAGAUUGCGUGAUCUCAGCUCAGCCUAUCAGAAAACCGAGAUGGCCCAUCUUGGUAAGGGGCCAGCCAUUGCCCACUGAUCAGCCAAAGGCUCAUUACAGAUUAGUAUAACAGAUACAUUGUUCAAAAAUCUUUAAGAAAUCUUGACAGGCAUUGGAUUUCUCUUAAUGUGACCAAGGGAGAUGUCUGCUUUUGGUGUAAUGCCUGGAGCCACUAGAUUUGACAACUAUAAUUGCAGUUCACCUCUGGCAUUAUCCGCUAAGCGGAUGUUGGCUAAAGCGGAUCUGAUUGAAUCUAGCCCUUAAAUAUUAAAGCUACAAGUAACUACCAAAAUAAAGGAAACACCAACGUAAAGUGUCUUAAUAGGGGGCGUCGGGCCACCAUGCGCCAGAACAGCUUCAAUGCACCAGAUUCUACAAGUGUCUGGAACUCUAUUGGAGGGAUGCAAUGCCAUUCUUCCAUGAGAAAUUCCAUAAUUUGGUGUUUUGUUGAUGGUGGUGGAAAAUGCUGUCACAAACACCACUCCAGAAUAUCCCAUCUGGUAACUGAGACGGCCAUGGCAUUUGGUUUACAUCGUUUACUCAUCAAACCACUCAGUGACCACUCGUGCCCUGUGGAUGGGGGCAUUGUCAUCCUAUGGGGGCAUAGUCAUGUUAGCCAAAAUAAUGGCCUGAUAAGCAUUUUUAUACAUGACCCUAAGCAUGAUGGGAUGUUAAUUGUUGAAAUAACUCAGGAACCAUGCUUGUGUGGAAGCACCUGCUUUCAAUAUACUUUCUCAUUUACUCAAGUGUUUCCAUUAUUUUGGCAGUUACCUGUAUACACUGGAAGAACCUGCCAGUCUCUGUUGUAAGUCAAUUUUGACUUGAGUGGAAGCUAGGAUUGACCAUUUAGUAACAAGCUGACGUGUGCCAACAUAAACAAUAUGAUUAUAGUAGCUAGAGUCUGAAGGAAAUUCAUUGUCGGUUGCGCUUCAAGGCUAAAGGGACCUGCCAUUAUAUUAGAGCGUCCAGGGGUUAUAGAAGGGUUGUCACUUUCACAAUAUGUGUGGGUAUAAGAGAAACUGAGCAUAAGUGAGAGAAUGGGCAAGAAAGACCAUGAAGAUAGAUGAAUGAGAGAGAGAAGUGGAGGUAAGAAAAGUGAGAGAGAUUGAAAGGGAGGAAGAGGAAGUUGUGGCUCUAGGAAGCGGUGAACUUCCUGAGUGUGAUGACAAUGAGGGCGAGGAGGACUGAAGCCCCCAGGAAGACAGCGAUGACAAUUGCUGUGAUGGCGCCCGGGCCCAGGACACCU